rnacentral:lncRNA from 1 species
UUCUCAGCACUUUAAAAAAUGUAUUCUGUAUUUUAAGGCAUCAAAUUUUGUGGUGGAGCUGGUGCACAGGAGCGCAAAUCUCAGGGAGAGUGAGAUUAAUUACCAACAUUCAGUAUCGACACAGGGAUUCUCUGCUCAUUGUAAUUAUUCUCACAAAGACAAUUAUUUUUCCGAAGACGUCUUUCAAUGCAUAUAAGGGGGAAAUUACUUCACUUCUGGUUAGCACCUCCAAAAGAACUUCCGUAUUUCAGGGAAAGCUGGAAUCAAGUGACUUUCUCCUCUGUACAUCUGGGUGACCCGCUCUGGUAGCCAUGUGGUGUGGAUGGGACCACGCCUACCUUCAGCUCCAGCAGAUAGUUCUGAUUGGUCUAGGCUACUAGCAAUCCAGUUGUUGUGGUCACAAGGUUUGGUUUAGGGCUAAGCCAGUGAACACAAAGCUUUGAGUUGCUGUCGGUUGACUGUGGGAGACGAACUCUCCUGUUGCACAAGGACAAGGGAGUAUGACGUCCUCCUAGAGUCACCAGGAAGUUAGCCCCAGGAGGCGCCCAGCAUUAGGUUUACAAGAGAAGAGAGGUGGAAAGAAAUCGGGUCCUCACGUCCUCGUGGCAAUCAAUGCAGUCCACUGUGCCUCUGGACUCCCAGUUAGCCAAUAAAUCCCUUCUUGUUUAUGACUUUUCUGUUAUU